rnacentral:lncRNA from 1 species
AAAUGUUUUUUGAAGCGUUUGAUUGUACUGCUGAAGAGAUUCUUAAUAGGUGAUGUUGAGUUCAAGGCAAAAUUACAGAUUACAUAACUAUGAUGCAUUACUAAAAUACCUAGCUUUAUCAAGUGCAAAAUUUCACAACAACUGCUACAUAUAGAUGUCAACUUUGAUUUAUUGUUCUGAACAAGUUAACUAUAUAUAUAUAUAUAUAUAUACACACACACACACACCCCAUCAAAAUGCAAUAACUGUGAAAUUUUAUUUUAUAAUAGAUAUCAUGUUAAAGCAUAUAUCUCCAGAAAAUUAGUUUUUUGCUAAUGAUUUAGAUUACUUGUUUGUUGUUUUUAUUUUAAAUACAAUCAACAAUCCUGAGCAAAAAUUAUUGCUCACAAAAAAGAAAUUUUAAAAAUAUUGUCUUACUACAAUAGAUGUUUAAAAUAAAAUAAAAAAGAAAACAAAAUACUUCUAAUGUUUGCUGAGAUUUUUGUAAUUAAAUAAAAAUUCAAGCCGCACCAUAUUUUGUAUUCACUGUUAAAUACAAGUCAUGAGAAUAAUUGCAAAUCAUGGUUUAUUUUCUAUGUUCUUUUGAAGUGUUAUAGAAACUUCAAAAAUUAUGAAUAUGAUGAUUCCUGUGUUAAAAUAAAUAAUCUUCUUUAGAAAUACAUUUGAAACCAUCUUUUACAUGUGUUGCUGAAAAAUGGCUUUUGACAUUGAGGUUAAUGCGUUUUAAUUAUCCUAAGAAGUUUUUCAACAACAACAAGUCAAUUUUAUUAUUCAACAAUGUCAAAUAACAGUGAUGUUUAUACUUUAAACUUAACUAUGCAUUUCUAUAAAAAUAUAGAAGCGAUGCUUUAAUGAUUUUUUAUUUUUAUUUUUUAUUUUUUUGCAUGCCAAUCACACUGAAUAGAAUUAUUUUAAUCAUGCAGUUUUGAUUUAUUUUAUGUUUCAAAUCAAAGAUGAACAAAUUGUAUAGAAUGAUUUAUACUAUUUCUAUUAAAAACAAUAGCAAAAUACUGCCAGUAAUAUUUCAUGUCACCUAUGAAUUCAAUAUAAUAAGUUAUAAUUUAAUGUGUUUUGUUUUGUAUUUUACAAAGCAUAUGCUUGCAUGUCAAAUAAUUUGUAUCAUCCUUGCAAUUGAUCAGAGGCAUCAAUUACAUCUUUUGUUUAAAAUUUAAAAAGUACAAAAUAAUUCCAAUUUUGAAUCAGAUGUUGUUUGUAUGUGUAUUUGAAUUUUGUACUCAUCUGCAGAAGAACCUCUUGGAAGAGUAUUGUAGAUAAGAUAUAAAG